CAGCAGCCGCGGUAAUACGGAGGGGGCUAGCGUUGUUCGGAAUUACUGGGCGUAAAGCGCACGUAGGCGGCUUGGUAAGUUAGAGGUGAAAGCCCGGAGCUCAACUCCGGAAUUGCCUUUAAGACUGCCGAGCUAGUAGGUGAGAGAGGUAAGUGGAAUUCCGAGUGUAGAGGUGAAAUUCGUAGAUAUUCGGAAGAACACCAGUGGCGAAGGCGGCUUACUGGCUCAUUCUAGACGCUGAGGUGCGAAAGCGUGGGGAGCAAACAGGAUUAGAUACCCCUGUAGUCCCUGUCUCUUAUAC
rnacentral:rRNA from 1 species